rnacentral:rRNA from 1 species
AUUGAACGCUGGCGGCAUGCCUUACACAUGCAAGUCGAACGGCAGCACGGGAGCAAUCCUGGUGGCGAGUGGCGAACGGGUGAGUAAAGUAUCGGAACGUGCCCAGUCGUGGGGGAUAACGUAGCGAAAGUUACGCUAAUACCGCAUACGAUCUAUGGAUGAAAGCGGGGGAUCGCAAGACCUCGCGCGAUUGGAGCGGCCGAUAUCAGAUUAGGUAGUUGGUGGGGUAAAGGCUCACCAAGCCGACGACCUGUAGCUGGUCUGAGAGGACGAACAGCCAAACCGGGACUGAGACACGGCCCAGACUCCUACGGGAGGCAGCAGUGGGGAAUUUUGGACAAUGGGCGAAAGCCUGAUCCAGCCAUGCCGCGUGCAGGAUGAAGGCCUUCGGGUUGUAAACUGCUUUUGUACGGAACGAAAAGGUUUGGCCUAAUAAGCUGAGCUCAUGACGGUACCGUAAGAAUAAGCACCGGCUAACUACGUGCCAGCAGCCGCCGCAG